UAGGGCUUUUACGCCCUAUCGUUUGUUCGAUAAGUCAUACGGAUGACAAAAGACGAACGGAUUACAAAGGGACAGAUGAACGAAGAGAGGGAAGCACGAAGGUGGAGGUCCGAUGGAUGCCGAUCGAUUGCUGGCUGAGGAAACGUCUCCGGAAUCGACGAGACCGAAGUAACGAAGGAACGAAGCAUCGAGUUCGUGCUCCGUCUCGUCCGGCUGUGAUGUGCGAAGGGGGAAGAGAGAACCAUUCCGCCUGGAGCGAUGCGAGCAGCAACAACCGCAUAGGCGAGGCUUCGAUGGGCGCUGCUUGAUUGGAGAAAGAGAAGGUACGAGGGUGAGGCUAGAAGAGGGUUUCUUCGGUCUCAGUGGGUGCAGCGGUGAGAUGCGAGGCCAGAAGGGGACCAUCUCGGAUGCUCGCCUGCUUCGACGAAGGUAUGAGAAAGACGGGAGCGACAGCAGAGCUGUCGCCGGUUGCUUCUUCAACGAGGGCUGCGGUGGCAGCUCUUGCUUGUAACUUCUCGUCAGGCAUAAAACACAAAAGAAUCGGGGAUGUUUGGAUUGCUUCUUCAACGGAAAAAAAAAAUGAACAUGAACGGGAUCAGCAACAGAUAAUCAAAGAUGGAUGAAGAACAAAAGGGAAGCUGAUGAUCUUCCGGUUUGCUGGAAAACACAAGCACGAGGGGUUUCACUGUCAGCUUCAAUCAAGGAAGAGUUUACUAUAGUGUGUGGUUUUGUAUAGGUUAAAACUUAUAGAACAUUAUAACUUAUUAUUGUGUGUAUAUUUUUCUCUCAUCCAUAUUGUAUGUACUUUAAAUGAGAUUUUUAAUUGAGAUUUAGAAGCAACAAUAUAAAUGAUA